UGGGGAAUAUUGCACAAUGGGCGAAAGCCUGAUGCAGCGACGCCGCGUGAGGGAUGACGGCCUUCGGGUUGUAAACCUCUUUCAGUAGGGACGAAGCGCAAGUGACGGUACCUGCAGAAGAAGCACCGGCUAACUACGUGCCAGCAGCCGCGGUAAUACGUAGGGUGCGAGCGUUGUCCGGAAUUACUGGGCGUAAAGAGCUCGUAGGCGGUUUGUCACGUCGUCUGUGAAAUCCUAGGGCUUAACCCUGGACGUGCAGGCGAUACGGGCUGACUUGAGUACUACAGGGGAGACUGGAAUUUCUGGUGUAGCGGUGGAAUGCACAGAUAUCAGGAAGAACUCCGAUGGCGAAGGCAGGUCUCUGGGUAGUAACUGACGCUGAGGAGCGAAAGCAUGGGUAGCGAACAGG
rnacentral:rRNA from 1 species